rnacentral:misc_RNA from 1 species
AAAAAUAGAAUACAUAAACCCUAGAACUAUAAUGGCUUUUAAAAUGACCCCAUAUAAUUGCAUAUAGUCUAAGAUACAUGAAUCCUCAUCGAUCCUGACAAGUGAAAUCCAAUUUCCUGAGUUUCAGAAUUAAUUAAAACAAAGACUAUACAUCUUGUUGUGUGAAAUCCAAUUUCAUGAUCCAUGGCAGUGGAGUUUAACCAUGUAGAAACUCCUCAGCCUAACCCAGAAACUGCUGUAAUUUGACUUAAGAAGAAGACUAUGAAGUACUAAUUUGUCAGCCUUUUUUUUUUUUCA